UGUCGGCGUUGAGCGUAUAAUGCUUGCUCGACCUUUGAUUCGUUUCAAUUCGAUUCGAAAGUUCCAAGUUCGAUUCGGAUGAACGCGCGUGUCAUCGUGUGUAGCGGAUAAGUCGCGACUUUAGCGAACUGUAUUCUUUGAACGAGCGUUAAUCCGAAGAUGCUCUUGAGAUACUCGGACGGCUUGAGCAGAGUGUUGGAGUCCGCGUUGGCGAACUUGGGCGGUAUGAACGGUAGCACCAUAUGUUUAUUGACCAGAUGGGACGUUUGGUUCGUCUUAAUUUCCUCGGUGUCCGCCGGUGGACUGGCAGGAGGCACUUCCGGCUGCUGAUGCUCGCCGCAGGAUACGUCGGACUUGUUGAUCGCUGUUCCGAAACAGAAACGAGGUGGGGGAAACGAAUCGUAGUACGCGUCGGACAAGUGAAAUCUAGGUUCCGCGUUUUGCUUGGCGUUCACCACGAGCACCACGACGUCUUCCUUCUCCGGUAGUGGGGGCGGUGGUGGUGGAGGCGGUGGCUUGGCGAAGCUGAGAAAGACGCGCGAUGCAGGGAAAGAAGAAGAAGAAGAA